UACGUAGGGUGCGAGCGUUAAUCGGAAUACUGGGCGUAAAGCGUGCGCAGGCGGUGAGCUGUGUCCGAUGUGAAAGCCCCCGGGCUUAACCUGGGAAUGGCAUUGGAAACUGGCUCGCUGGAGUGUGGCAGAGGGGGGUGGGAAUUCCGCGUGUAGCAGUGAAAUGCGUAGAGAUGCGGAGGAACACCGAUGGCGAAGGCAGCCCCUGGGCUAACACUGACGCUCGAGGCACGAAAGCGUGGGGAGCAA
rnacentral:rRNA from 1 species